ACUAUCAUGUGAUCUGAAAACACCGGUUCUCUUCCGAUCACCGAAGUUAAGCAAUGUUGGGUCCGGUCAGUACUUGGGAGGGUGACCACCUGGGAACAUAGGGUGUGCGCUGAAGGUC